rnacentral:rRNA from 1 species
CCUACGGGAGGCAGCAGUGGGGAAUUUUGGACAAUGGGGGAAACCCUGAUCCAGCCAUUCCGCGUGAGUGAAGAAGGCCUUCGGGUUGUAAAGCUCUUUCGGCAGGAACGAAACGGUACGGGCCAAUACCCCGUAUCAAUGACGGUACCUGAAGAAGAAGCACCGGCUAACUACGUGCCAGCAGCCGCGGUAAUACGUAGGGUGCGAGCGUUAAUCGGAAUUACUGGGCGUAAAGCGUGCGCAGGCGGUUUUUUAAGACAGGCGUGAAAUCCCCGGGCUUAACCUGGGAACUGCGCUUGUGACUGGAAGGCUAGAGUACGGCAGAGGGGGGUGGAAUUCCACGUGUAGCAGUGAAAUGCGUAGAGAUGUGGAGGAACACCGAUGGCGAAGGCAGCCCCCUGGGCCGAUACUGACGCUCAUGCACGAAAGCGUGGGGAGCAAACAGGAUUAGAUACCCUGGUAGUCCACGCCCUAAACGAUGUCAACUAGGUGUUGGGUGGGUAAAACCAUUUAGUACCGGAGCUAACGCGUGAAGUUGACCGCCUGGGGAGUACGGCCGCAAGGUUAAAACUCAAAUGAAUUGAC